rnacentral:rRNA from 1 species
GAUGAACGCUGGCGGCGUGCCUAAUACAUGCAAGUCGAGCGAACGGACGAGAAGCUUGCUUCUCUGAUGUUAGCGGCGGACGUGUGUGUAACACGUGUAUAACCUACCUAUAUGACUGGUAUAACUUCGGGAAACGGGAUCUUAUCCCGGAUGAUAUUUUGAACCGCAUGGUUCAAAAGUGAAAUUCGGUCUUUCUGUCACUUCUAGCUGGAUCCGCGCUGCAUUAGCUAGUUGUUACGGUAAAGGCUUACCAAGGCAACUAUGCAUAGCCGACCUGAGAGGGUGAUCGGCCACACUGGAACUUAGACACGGUCCAUGCUCCUACGGUAGGCACCAGUAGGGAAUGUGCCGCAAUGGUCGAAAGCCUUACGGAGCAACGCCGCGUGAGUGAUGAAGGUCUUCGGAGCGUAAAACUCUGUUAUUAGUGAAGAACAUAUGUGUAAGUAACUGUGCACAUCGUGACGGUACCUAAUCAGAAAGCCACGGCUAACUACGUG